GAAUAGACUUCCUAGAGAGUAAGAGUAUUUUUACUAUUGUUCCUCGGUAUUCUAUAGAACACUUCUCAGUGAGAUGUAGGAAGGUAUUGUGAUGUAUAGUGAGUUUUGACUCCUUACAAAUGCAUCUUAAUUGUUCCAAGAUUUAUAUGUUUUCCAGUUUAUGUUAUGUUCUUAACUGUACUAUCAACUCUAAACUAAAAUGUCUUCAUUCAAACAGAUACAGGCUUUGUUCACACUUAUGCCUUUUAAUGAAUCACUCUCUUAAGCCUUCCAUAACUUAGAGUGGCUGAGAGACACCAGGAAGUUACUUUCCAACUGUUUUGCUGUCUGAAGCCAGCUGUUUUGCUUGCAGUUGUUAUGGGGAAUAGCAGCAGAUGGCAAAGAGAACAGAGAAGGAAAAUGGCAGGGGAAGAGCUUUCUUUUUUGUCUGAAAAACUGUGAUCAUACAGAAAGGUUACCAGGGUAUAAUCUAUUCUGCACCAAAAUACAGGUGAGUUGGGGACUGGAAUGACAAUCUCCUUAAGACUCCUGAUUAUUCUCAGAACUGAUGCAACGUACAAGCUUUGGGAAGCUUUUGUAACAUAGUGUCUUGUUGCUGAAAGGCUAACAUGUAAACUCGGUAUAGUCAGAUGAAAAACUCCAGUUUACUUUAAGCUGAAGCUGUGCUAUUGAUGCUUGAAUCAACAUGUAAAACUGCCCUUAUGUCAUUAAAAUGUCUUUUUCUUGUACAGGUGUAUUGUGCAGUCUAAAACAAGUAUUUCAGUGUCCUUUUAAAUUACCCUGUAUUGUUUAUACAAAUAUAUCAAGAGGCUUCCAACAGAGGUCCACAAACCUAUUUGCUGUAUCUGUAGAUUGUCCCCUCCACAGGUAUGGAGCAGUGAUCUUUGCCAUCCUUCUUUUUUCCUAAAACAGCGGUGUGAAGCAAGUGUGCCCUCUUCUGAGGACUUUGUAGAGGUGAAAAUGAUCACUGCAUAUCCCGGAUGCUGGGCACAGUUGACAAAAAGAGGUACAUUUGUGGAUCCUCAAAUCCUUUUCUUUAUUGAAAUUGGACAUGCCUCCAGUUCUUGGAAUACAUCAGAUUAAAUAUGAGAGGAAUUGAAGAAUGAUGUCCGAAGCUAAAUACAGUGAUAAAACUCAGCACAUAUUUUGGUUGGCAAUUGUUUGGCAUAUUAGGGGAACAAAGUUUUCUGAUGCGUUAUGGGUAAAUGCUUAACAAAAUGAGGAUAGAAUAUCACAAUUAAGACAAAAAAAUUUUCAAGAGACUUGAUAAAAUCUACUAGAGUAGAGGUGGAGGAUGACUGAUUGAACCAUUGCUUUUGAAAGUCUCUGAAAAAGCCCUGAGUGCUAACUACUUUAUUUUCCUGACAGAAUCUUACAGGCUGAAGUGUUUAAAAUAAAAUGAGAAUCUUUUCUUCCA
rnacentral:lncRNA from 1 species